CUCUUAGCCAGCAUACCUGGUGCGGCACUUCUUAGAUGUAUCUUUUUUGUAUGUAUAUUUAUUUAAUCACUAUAAAACUUUUUUGUAUAACCAGGUCAUAAGAUUUUAGUGCAUGAAUUCUGUUUUCUACUAGCAGUCUAGCACCAUGAUAUAUGUGUUUCUGUGAAAGUACAUAGUACAUUUUUUUUAAAAAAACAUCUGUAGUACUUUCUGCUCCUUCCUCUCCUCUCCGGAUGGUAUAUUGGAUUUAUGCAGGUUGUGUUAGCAAAUGAAGAUCAAAUUGUUUAAUCUGUGAUUUUGCAGUCAGCCUGCGCUUUUGCUUAAGUAUUUGUGAUUUUUGUUUGAUUGUCAGAUCUUUUGUUGAUGGAUUGGCAUAUAUGGGUGUAGAUUUGGGGCUCUCCGUGUCAAUUUGGGGCUCUGUGAUCUGCAAAACAUUGGUUUGAGUACAAAGAUAGGUGAGGAAAGUUCAGAACAGCAGGAUCACCAGUCACAUAAUCUGAGCUGAGAGUGAGCAUGUGGAGCAAGUUGUCUUUCUCCUUUGCCUGAGACAUUAAGCAGAGACUUUAUGAAACUGAUUCCAAGCCUGAGGGCCUUGGCCUCGAGCUUCUCCACGAGGACACCGGGGGAUGCCGUGGUUGACGGCCUUGAAGAAGCUGAGCCUGUUGCAGGCGCUGGCCACGGCACUCGCGGAGCCCGACGAGGACAGGUCCACGAUGGGGACGAUGGCUUUUGUCGAGAUGGUCGUCUUGAUGGAAACGUUGGGCC